rnacentral:rRNA from 1 species
AAAUGACGGUACCUGACUAAGAAGCCCCGGCUAACUACGUGCCAGCAGCCGCGGUAAUACGUAGGGGGCAAGCGUUAUCCGGAUUUACUGGGUGUAAAGGGAGCGUAGACGGUAAAGCAAGUCUGAAGUGAAAGCCCGGGGCUCAACCCCGGGACUGCUUUGGAAACUGUUUAACUAGAGUGCUGGAGAGGUAAGCGGAAUUCCUAGUGUAGCGGUGAAAUGCGUAGAUAUUAGGAGGAACACCAGUGGCGAAGGCGGCUUACUGGACAGUAACUGACGUUGAGGCUCGAAAGCGUGGGGAGCAAACAGGAUUAGAUACCCCGGUAGUCCACGCCGUAAACGAUGAAUACUAGGUGUUGGGGGACAAAGUCCUUCGGUGCCGUCGCAAACGCAAUAAGUAUUCCACCUGGGGAGUACGUUCGCAAGAAUGAAACUCAAA